UUAUUUCAUUAUGCCAUAAUUUUUUUUCUAUUUAUAUUUUUGUUUAAUAAAAUUUUCCAAUUUCUUUUUUAUUUUUUUAAUUUGGAAUUAAGUUUUAUUAAAUACUCCAAUAAUUCUUGGUAAGGAGUUUUCUAACUUCGAAAUAAUAAAACAAGAAAUUAAUUUUCAAACAGUUUUAUAUGUUUAAGAAAAUAAUUUCUUUUAUAAAUUGGUUUAUUAUUAUAAUUAUUUAUAAUUUAAUUUAUAUUAAUAUUUACAAGUUUAUUAAUACAAUUUAUUCUUAUCUCUAUACUUUUUUAAAUUAUUUUAUUAUUAUCCUAUUAUUGCUAAUAAUAUAUACAUUAAAUUAUUUUAUUUAGGUACCCCCCCCCAUUAUAAUUAAUUUUAUUAUAAUUAUUGUAAAAAUUAGUAUUAAUUUUAUUUAUCUAAAUUCUUGUUCUUAAAUUUAUUCAUUCAAUAGUAUUCUAUUUAAUUUUUAUCACACAUGUUUUAUAAAAACUUAAGAUUUAGUUUAUUAUAUUAAAUUUGAUAAGUGUAAAAUUAUUGUUUCUAUUUAAAUCCGUCGGUGUGUAACUUGGGGUCUAAUGAACUUCGUUGUUAAUCUUCCAAUGUGGUAAAAUUCUUAUAACUAUUGUUUUAGAAAUUGUUUAUUCCUAUUUUUAGAUGAUAAGACCCUUAAAGUUUAAAUAAAUAGGGCGAGUUUCUGAUUUUUUAUAACGAAUUAAAAUUCAUAAAAAUUGUUAUUUUAUUUUAUUACUUAAGGGCUAACGAUUUGUUGUUCCGUUUUCGUAAUCACAUAUUCUCGAUGUUGUAUAACCAUUAAUAAUUAAACAAGCUAGAUCUUGAUUUUUAUUUUGACCGUUGGGCGAUCAAAAAUCGGUUCUUUAUAUGAGUUUAGAACGUAUAAUUGCAGUUCGGUUUCUAUCUAAAUUU
rnacentral:rRNA from 1 species